rnacentral:pre_miRNA from 1 species
AUUGGUACCCUAACGCUAGCAUUGACUUGUCUAUAUAAUGCAGUAAGUGCUACUUGUUGAGGUAGUUUGA